UCUCGGUUUAGGUCACAGAAAGACGGUCGAUCCAUUUUGUUUCUCGCUUAUCUAAUUCAGGCCGGCGGAGCAGAAACAGCACGUCAGACGGUGGCUGAGAUUAAAUGGCUCGUUGAGACUUUGUUCCUGCACUCGAAGGGUUGUGUGGCGAUUAGCAAAGGGUUAAACUCUAUACCCCGACCCCACCCUCCCCUCUCCGGCCCUGCAGGAUGGUUUGGAUUAUCCUCCCCCCUCCCCGUUAUCUGCAGCAGAGGGGGUCGCGCCUCCCUGUAGACGAGCUGGAGCUACAGAUGGCGGAGGAAAUUACAGUCUGCACGCUAUGAUCAGGAUCAGAGCUAAAACCCCCAAAACAGCCGGGUUCCCCUCAGGUGCAGGUUUCUAAUCAUCCAGGGGGGAUCUGCUCUCCCUAAACUUUUAAUUCUUCCACAGCCAGGCAUCGAUUACAGCGAUGCCACAGCGAGACAACAGACUCCAAGUGUCUGCCAAUCCACAACAAACGCAGCCCCGCAAUCCACACAAACCAUCCCAUCCGCCCCUCCCAUUUACACUGUUACAGCAGGCAGGCAGCAGGCAGGCGGCCCACCAACCGAGCCAACAAAUUAAAGUUUAAAAAUGUGCAGAAGAGACUUUUUAUCAGCAGAAAUACUUCAGGAUAUUUCAGCAAAGAUUGUGCACAUAUUUCCCCCGUGACGUCCUUCAAAUGCAGAAAAAUAAUGUGUUUUUGUGUUUCAGAGUUCAGAUUCAAAAUGAAGAAAAAGAGUCUUCGUUUCCCCACUUUCUGUGCUUGUUCGUGUUUUUUUGUCUUCGUUCUGAAGCUGAAAAUCUCACAGACUGUGACUUGAGUCAGCAGCAAACAGCACAUGUUUCUGAGGGGGUGCUGUGAGGAUUUUGUCUGUUACCACAGCAAGAACAGUCGAAUGGGAGCAGCGGGAGUGGAGCCGAGUUGGAAACGGUGGCCGUGGAUGAGGCCUGGAAAACGUCCACAUUAAACUGGCAGAAACGGCUUCUUCUUCUUCUUCUCAGGAUUUUGACCUUUUUGCACACAAAAGGUCACCAUGAUGCUUCCACAUCGGUGCGGUGACAGAGUUAUUCACUGCACUGUAUUCAUGUCGCUGCUGUUCCCAAGUUACUGUUCUUUACUGAAUUUUUUUUAUUGAGUAUCAGGUUGGAACAGAACAAAUAAAAGCCUUUCAUCA